ensembl:lncRNA
GUCCUUUUCUUCACCUUGUGUCUGUUGCAAACAAUUCACUACUGAGACUUUCAGUUUCAAUAUGAAUGUUUGUUAUCUUUGUCUUGAGGCCAUUAUAAUGUCCCCAUCCUUUAUUCUACAGCAUGAUAAGGGGGAAGUUGGAUGACAUUUACAUUGUGGAACAGAGGAAUAGCUCUGUUUUGGUAAUAGAUGUUGGCUGAGAGGUGUUCUUUGAAAACAGGUUACUGGGAACAAACAAACAGCUAGUGUGACAACCUGGUCUCACAGCAUUUCGUAUUAUACUGUAUGUAAAUCCGACACAUUCCAUUUAGUAUGAUAUGUUACGUUUCCUCUCUGUUCUGCUCUGUUUUGGUAAUAGAUGUUGGCUGAGAGGUGUUCUUUGAAAACAGGUUACUGGGAACAAACAAACAGCUAGUGUGACAACCUGGUCUCACAGCAUUUCGUAUUAUUCUGUAUGUAAAUCCGACACAUUCCAUUUAGUAUGUUAUGUUACGUUUCAUAUGGUACGUAUUCAUUUGUGGAUGUCCAUCACCCACUUAGUAUGAUAUGUUACAAAUUACAAUUCCUAUUAUAUAUUAUGAAUUUGCUAAAUGUACAUAUGAUAUGUAAUGAAUUAGCUAGGUGGCUAAUGUUAGCUAGGCUAGGGGUUAAGGUUAGGAGUUAGGUUAAAGGGUUAGGGGAAGAGUUAGCUAAAGGGUUAAGGUUAGGGUUAGCUAGAAGGGUUAAGGUCAGGGGAAGGGUUAGCUAAAGGGUUAAGGUUAGGGUUAGCUAAAAGGGUUAAGGUUAGGAUCAGGGGAAGGGUUAGCUAAAGGGGUUAAGGUUAGGGGAAGGGUUAGCUAAAGGGGUUAAGGUUAGGGGAAGGGUUAGCUAAAGGGGUUAAGGUUAGGGGAAGGGUUAGCUAAAGGGGUUAAGGUUAGGGGAAGGGUUAGCUAAAGGGGUUAAGGUUAGGGGAAGGGUUAGCUAAAGGGGUUAGGGUUAGGGGAAGGGUUAGCUAAAGGGGUUAGGGUCAGGGGAAGGGUUAGCUAACGGGUUAAGGUUAGGGGAAGGGUUAGCUAAAGGGUUAAGGUUAGGGGAAGGGUUAGCUAAAGGGUUAAGGUUGGGGGAAAGGUUAGCUAAAAGGGUUAAGGUUAGGGGAAGGGUUAGCUAAAAGGUAGUUCAAAGGUAGCUAAAAAGUUGCUAAUUAGUUAAAAUGCUAAAGUUGUCCGUGAUGUGAACGUUCAGGUUACACCCAU